UACGGAGGGAGCUAGCGUUAUUCGGAAUUACUGGGCGUAAAGCGCACUAGGCGGCUUUGUAAGUUAGAGGUGAAAGCCUGGAGCUCAACUCCAGAAUUGCCUUUAAGACUGCAUCGCUUAAUCCAGGAGAGGUGAGUGGAAUUCCCGAGUGUAGAGGUGAAAUUCGUAGAUAUUCGGAAGAACACCAGUGGCGAAGGCGGCUCACUGGACUGGUAUUUGACG
rnacentral:rRNA from 1 species